AGAAAUAUUUCAUACAUUAUUAACCACUUCGAUGUAUUCAGCAUUUAGUCAUUCUACUUGGCUGCUCUGCUGCCCGUGGGUUUGCUUAAUGAAAACUGACCAAGAGCCAAGGAAUAAAGUGGUGAUUCAGAAGUAAUCUCUGAAUGGAAAUCAUAGAAUCAGAUGGUCUUCCUCAAUCACUAAGGGAAUCACUGAGUACAAAAUUAUUAGGUCCUAGAGAACAAUGGCCUUACCUUGACCGGAUAGGUCCAGUGAGCGUUGAUGGUUAUUUUUGCCGUCAAAAAUCUCAAAAGUGUAUUUGCCUUUAUCCUUCUCGGUGGGCUCACAGAUCUGCAGCCAGGCCAUCUCCUCACUCCCUCCAAUCCUCAUG